rnacentral:rRNA from 1 species
AGAGUUUGAUCAUGGCUCAGAAUGAACGCUGGCGGCGUGCAUAACACAUGCAAGUCGAACGAGAAAGGGGCUUCGGCCCCGAGUAAAGUGGCGCACGGGUGAGUAACGCGUGGGUAACCUACCCUGGAAUCUGGGAUAACACUGCGAAAGUGGUGCUAAUACCGGGUACGAUCCUCGAGCGGGAGUUUGGGGAUGAGAGCCGGCCUCUUGUUAAAGCUGGUGUUCUGGGAUGGGCUCGCGUCCUAUCAGCUAGUUGGUGGGGUAAUGGCCUACCAAGGCGGCGACGGGUAGCUGGUCUGAGAGGAUGAUCAGCCACACUGGCACUGGAACACGGGCCAGACUCCUACGGGAGGCAGCAGUGAGGAAUUUUGCGCAAUGGGGGAAACCCUGACGCAGCAACGCCGCGUGGGUGAAGAAGGCCUUCCGGUCGUAAAGCCCUGUCAGGUGGGAAGAACGGUCCUU